GAAACCUUCGGGUCUAGUGGCGCACGGGUGCGUAACGCGUGGGAAACUGCCCUUUGCUUCGGAAUAACAGUUAGAAAUGACUGCUAAUACCGGAUGAUGUCUUCGGACCAAAGCUCUGUCGGCAAAGGAUGAGCCCGCGUAGGAUUAGGUAGUUGGUGAGGUAAAGGCUUACCAAGCCGACGAUCCUUAGCUGGUCUGAGAGGAUGAUCAGCCACACUGGGACUGAGACACGGCCCAGACUCCUACGGGAGGCAGCAGUGGGGAAUCUUGGACAAUGGGCGAAAGCCUGAUCCAGCAAUGCCGCGUGAGUGAUGAAGGGCUUCGGGUCGUAAAGCUCUUUUACCGGGGAGGAUAAUGACAGUACCUGGAGAAUAAGCUCCGGCUAACUCCGUGCCAGCAGCCGCGGUAAU
rnacentral:rRNA from 1 species